rnacentral:rRNA from 1 species
GACGAACGCUGGCGGCGUGCUUAACACAUGCAAGUGGAGCGACGAACCGGGGCUUGCCCCGGGGCAGAGCCGCGAACGGGUGAGUAACACGUGGGUAACCCACCCCGAUGACCGGGACAACCCGAGGAAACUCGGGCUAAUACCGGAUGUGGUCGCUGUUCAUAAGAACGACGACUAAAGAUAGCUUCGGCCUUCGCAUCGGGACGGGCCCGCGGCCCAUUAGCUUGUUGGUGGGGUAACGGCCUACCAAGGCUCCGAUGGGUAGCUGGUCUGAGAGGACGAUCAGCCACACUGGGACUGAGACACGGCCCAGACUCCUACGGGAGGCAGCAGUGGGGAAUCUUGCGCAAUGCGCGAAAGCGUGACGCAGCAACGCCGCGUGGGGGAAGAAGGCCUUCGGGUUGUAAACCCCUUUCAGUUGGGACGAAGCUUCGUCGGUUAAUAGCCGGCCGGAGUGACGGUACCUUCAGAAGAAGCCCCGGCUAACUACGUGCCAGCCGCCGCAGUAAAAC